rnacentral:lncRNA from 1 species
GAACAAAAGAGUGGCACCGCCUGAAGAAUGUCAGCAGUGUUUUCAGCUCCGCCGCCCGCUCCGCCCUGUCUUGUUUUGCACUUUAUCUUCCUGGAGCCUUUCCAGGAGACAAAUCUUUCCAUCAGAAUCUUUGUGGGUUGAAGCCCGUGUCCUGUCAGGUUGUGUAUCAAAAUUUCUGGUGAAUUUUUCCUCCUCAAUAUUUCAGACCUAUAAAAAAGAUUUGCAAAGGCAGAACUCUAGAUAUUAUAAUCACUCCAAGCACAGAAAAAAAAAAGUGGUAAAAGUUUUUCUUUUUCCCACUGCUAAAUACAGAAUGUUCCUCUGUUAGGUACCCUUAACACUGACAAAGCAUAUAUUUUUGUUUUAUCUGAAUGAAACAAAAUGUAGACUUAAACAUUACAUUUCAGAGUACACUCUGCUAUUUCUUACUAUUCGAGGAACAUAUUUCACAAAAGCAAUAUCUACUCUUAUUUAGGUUUCUUGGAAGAGAAGAAUGAGAUUGGAUCUGAGAAAAUGUGGCUGGUAAUGAACUCUACGAAGGGAUUUUUAUACUCUCUCUUUGGCAGUCCAUCCUGUGAAAUAAUAAUGAGGUUGGAGGAUGGCUGCUAACCAUCCCUUGCUUUUCCGUGCCAGGGAACCACCAUCUCAGAUGGUAGAAACCACUCAGAAGGAUCAACUGCUGCAGACGGGAAGAGGAGCAACCUCGUGAAUAAUUUCGUGACAGGAUAUUGCAGGAGGGACUUUGUCCAAAUGUGUGCAGGGUAGUUGGCUACAGCAACAAGGAUGACGAACACAGAUGAAUUGAUCAGGAUGUAACCAUUCAAAGUUGAGAGGAUUAGAGGACUUCUCCGAGGCGGCUCCAAUGGAUGCCAGCAGAGUUAAAGUGUCCAAUGGAGAGAAGAGAAGGCUUGGGAAAUCCAGAGUCCAUUCAUUCAUCGCCCUCCUCCUAGAACAACAAAAGCGAGCCCCAGUACUCAUCAGCAUGGACUCUGUGUGUAGUCAUCUCCCUUAGUUUCAGAGGUUCCUGCCUACAGCAAAACUUUAGAGGCUUAGAGUUUAACGGUCAUAGCUUAUUCACCUCCAACUGUGUCCUAGUUCAAGAGAAACACUUCACAUAUCUGUAGGGAGAAGAUAAUGAACCAAGGAUACAAGUUAAGCCUUAGCUAAGACCUGUUACUCAGGAAAAAGAGCUAAAACAAGCUGCUUAGAUCAGCACCAAUGUUAGGUAGAGAGAAAAAGAAACGCUGCAUAGAAAUCUUAAGGUUCACAUGUGCUCCAGGCUGGGUCAACAACUUCUAAUUUCCUUUGCCAACCAACCAUGUCUUUGACAGAAAUGAUCCUUCUACAUAGACCACAGAGGGAUCCAAUGGAGGUUUCUCUUCCUGAAUUUGGGGAUUCAGAAUCUGGACAAAUUCCUUUCCAUCAAAGUCCAGUACAAAAGUAGUACCAUGGCAGUCCCUGCAGGGACUUGCAUCACUUUCCCUAGAGAUAUCAAGAGAAUUUUUAGUGAUAAGAAUAUGGCACAAAAUGAGAAAUCCCAUUACUCUUAAGAGAAUCUCUUCCUUCUCAAAGGCACCUGAUUAAUACAUAUAGUACUAUCAGUAAGGCUGAGCAAAAGGAUACUGAUGUUCUGAGUGAUCUUAAAUCAUGUAAUAAUAACUUUAUUCGUAGUAUAGAACGGAAUAUUCCCUAUUAGUAAUCAGUUCCUUUGCCAGAUCCUCAUAGUAUCUUAGUCACUGUUUUAUUGUUAUGAAGAGAAACUUUGACCACAGCACCUCUUAGAAAAAAGGAAGCAUUUAAUCGGGACUUCCUUAUGGUUUCACAGUUUUACAUAAUUGUCAACAUGGCAGAGAACAUGGGGGCACGCAAACAGACAUGGUGCUGGAGAAGUAGCGGAGAAUAUACAGCAACAUAUAGAUACAAAAUAUAGAUACAUAUAGAUACAGAAUAUAGAUACAUAUAGCUACAUAUAGAUCUGCAGGCAGCAGGAAGAGACUGGGACAAGGCCAUACCUUCUAAGGCUUCUCAAGGAGUGUCACUUCCUGAUGACCAAGCAUUCAAGUGUAUGAGCUUAUGGGAGCCAUUCUUAUUCAAGCCACCACACAUAGCAAAGCUGAUAAUGUCAUUUUCUGAAUUAACCAGGCCAAGGCACACUUCUUAGCAACAUGGUUACCUGGUAACCAGAGAUUUUUCUCAUCCCAUGAGAGAUUUCAUUCAAGAACUGAUCUUCUAACAGUUUUGUCUCUCUUAAGAAUGCUACAGACAGGGUGGGGUGAGGCACAGUGCUGAAGCCCCUCAAGUUUCCCAGAGGGAUGAGUCCAUGAAAGACGAAAAUCAUGUGGUCACACUGAGCAUAGACUUCACAAGCAUCAUGCUAGGAUUCCAUUUUCUUUCUCAACACAAUGAUAAAUUCUUCUUCCAAUAAGCAGAAAAUCAUCCAAUGGGAAAAAAAAAUAAAACCAACUAACUUGCAGUCCUUUGGAACAGUUUCAUAGCUUACAGGAUGGCUUCAUAACCCUGGGGACACUCGUUUUGACAUGAAAACUUCCUUCAGAACAGGAAUUCUGAUCCAACAUGUGCUCAGACAUCAUUUCAGUCACUUGCAAAUGAACAAGAAAGCUCAUGUAAAUGAGGAGGCUCAACUCCCAGGCCUGGUGAGUGGGUAAGACAUUCCUCUGCUGGGUUUUGAAGGCUGUCUGAAACCAUCGGCUGACAUCCUUCUCUGUGUGCAUGUAUGCACUAUCUACGGGAAAUUCAGCUCCAACCGGUUGUCUCUACAGCUCCCUUAAUCUUCUCCUCCCUCCUCCUGGCAUUGGCAUGUGUCCCAGGACUGCAGCGAGGAGUGCUUACCAACAAAGGUGCUGGCAUCUGCAUUUGUUUCACAGCCACAAACCUAAUGGUUCCAUGAUUUUGGCGAGCAAAACUGUCAAAAUGCCUGAGCACAAGAGAUCACAAGAUGAGCCAAGGCAUAGUGUGCAUGCCUUCCUUCCCAGCACUCGGAAGGCAGAGGCAAGGGGAUCUCUGUGGGUUCAAGGCCAGCCUGAAUCACAAGGUGUACUGGGGAUUCUUUUUUAUUGUUUUCCUUUUGCUAUCUGGAAUAGUUUGAGAUUGUAUUUGAUCAGUGCAUUAAAC